AGCGAACGCUGGCGGCAGGCUUAACACAUGCAAGUCGAGCGGGCGUAGCAAUACGUCAGCGGCAGACGGGUGAGUAACGCGUGGGAACGUACCUUUUGGUUCGGAACAACCCAGGGAAACUUGGGCUAAUACCGGAUAAGCCCUUACGGGGAAAGAUUUAUCGCCAAAAGAUCGGCCCGCGUCUGAUUAGCUAGUUGGUGAGGUAACGGCUCACCAAGGCGACGAUCAGUAGCUGGUCUGAGAGGAUGAUCAGCCACAUUGGGACUGAGACACGGCCCAAACUCCUACGGGAGGCAGCAGUGGGGAAUAUUGGACAAUGGGCGCAAGCCUGAUCCAGCCAUGCCGCGUGAGGGAUGACGGCCU
rnacentral:rRNA from 1 species